UUGUUUGAAAACUUUGUAAACGUUCAACAUCCCCACCCCUAAACCAUAUAUAUACUUGUAUGGGACACUAAAGCUAAUCAAAUGAAAUUAAAGGGAAGUUCCUGGGGGUUGCCCCCACCCCGUUCAAUUUGAGAAUGUGCUAUUAUCUUGUAAAUGGUCCAGAUCCCCACCCCUAAACCAUAUUUAUUCUUGUAGGGGACAAUAAAACAAAUGAAAUGAAAUAAAAGGGAAGUCCCGAGGGGGUCACCCCACCCCCUCUUGUUUGAAAACUUGUAAACGGUCAACAUCCCCACCCUUUAACCACAUAUAUUCUUGUAUGGGACAAUAAAACAAAUCAAAUGAAAUGUAGGUAAAGUCCCUGGGGAUCACCACCACCCCCUCCUGUUUGAAUACUUGUAAAUGGUGGAGAUCCCCACCCGUAAGCCAUAUAUAUUCUUGUAUUGGACAAAAAAUCAAAUCAAAUGAACAUGGGACCAUAUAAAUGGUGACUUAUGGGAGCUUUGUUUGGGAGACUUCGUAACAGCAUCCUGUUACAAUUACUUCUUGUUUAUUUUAUUUUACACUCAUGGGACAAAAUGAAGUUCUCACCC
rnacentral:lncRNA from 1 species